rnacentral:rRNA from 1 species
UACAGAGGUCUCAAGCGUUGUUUCGGAUUCAUUGGGCGUAAAGGGUGCGUAGGUGGCGCCGUAAGUCGGGUGUGAAAUUUCGGAGCUUAACUCCGAAACUGCAUUCGAUACUGCGGUGCUUGAGGACUGGAGAGGAGACUGGAAUUCAUGGUGUAGCAGUGAAAUGCGUAGAGAUCAUGAGGAAGACCAGUGGCGAAGGCGGGUCUCUGGACAGUUCCUGACACUGAGGCACGAAAGGCCAGGGGAGGCAAAACGGGG